AUACGUAGGGGGCGAGCGUUGUCCGGAAUGAUUGGGCGUAAAGGGCGCGUAGGCGGCGCGGUAAGUCUGGAGUGAAAGUCCUGCUUUCAAGGUGGGAAUUGCUUUGGAUACUGCCGCGCUUGAGUGCAGGAGAGGUUAUCGGAAUUCCCGGUGUAGCGGUGAAAUGCGUAGAGAUCGGGAGGAACACCAGUGGCGAAGGCGGGUAACUGGACUGCAACUGACGCUGAGGCGCGAAAGUGUGGGGAGCAAACAGGAUUAGAUACCCUGGUAGUCCACACUGUAAACGAUAAAUGCUAGGUGUAAGAGGUAUCGACCCCUUUUGUGCCGGAGUCAACACAAUAAGCAUUCCGCCUGGGGAGUACGGCCGCAAGGUUGAAACUCAAAGGAAUUGACGGGG
rnacentral:rRNA from 1 species